rnacentral:sRNA from 1 species
CGUGUCCACACACAUGUGCUGGCAUGUCUGCACCUGGCUGGUGUGUACAUAUGGGUGUCCAUACCCACUCAUGACGCUGACGUGACCUGUGAGUGUCCACAUGUGUGAUUGUAUCUAACUGUGUGUGUGACCGUGUCCAUGUAUGUCCAUUGAUAUAUGCUCCCCCUCAUUCCCCUGUCUAACCCCAGCCCCCCACCUCGUCCCCCUUUGGCAGCACUGGGGAUAGGGGGCAGGGGUGCAGCCUGGUGGUAUUACCCGCCCCCUCCUGCCAGGUGACAACCUGGUCAACAAGCCAGACGAACGCGGCUUCACCCCCCUCAUCUGGGCCUCGGCUUUUGGAGAGAUCGAGACUGUUCGCUUCCUGCUGGAGUGGGGUGCCGACCCCCACAUCCUGGCCAAAGAGCGAGAGAGCGCCCUGUCGCUGGCCA